rnacentral:lncRNA from 1 species
GUUUUUGGGUAGUGUUCUAUGUUUUGUAUUUCUAUGUUCUAUUUUCUAGUUAUUCUAUUUCUAUGUUUAGUUUAUUGUUUUGACCUUCAAUUGGAGGCAGCUGGUCCUUGUUGCCUUUAAUUGAAGGUCCUAUUUAGUAGGGGUGUUUUUCUAUGGGUUUUGUGGGUAGUUGUUUCUUGUUUAGCUGUGUGCCUGACAAGACUGUUUUCGUCGUUCUUUUUGUUCAGUGUUGAUUUCUUUUAAUAAAGAAGAUAAUGAGCGUUCACGUACCCGCUGCAUUUUGGUCCAAUUCAUACGACGCCUGUGACAUACUCCCCCAUUCAUGGGCCAAAAUUUUGCCGACACACACACAUGCUGCAUGCAUCAACACACUCACACACAUGCACACAUAAGCGCACAUCCUACAGAGAUUGAAAAAAGUUGAUAGAACAGAGUUGUGAAUUAACUGUUAAAGAGACGGUGGACGGAGAGGCACGGGCACAGCCACACCCUCUAGUUCAGAUGGGAACAGUAAUAGUAGGAAUAGUUGGGUCGUUCCGCCAAAUCUGUGCCUUUUGAGAUGUGUAACUGUAAGGGUCCUGUGUGUAGCUGGUGUAGAGAGUCAGGCGCAGGACAGCAGAUAUGAGUAGAACAACACCAGAUCUGUAAGGGUCCUGUGUGUAGCUGGUGUAGAGAGUCAGGCGCAGGACAGCAGAUAUGAGUAGAACAACACCAGAUCUGUAAGGGUCCUGUGUGUAGCUGGUGUAGAGAGUCAGGCGCAGGACAGCAGAUAUGAGUAGAACAACACCAGGUCUGUAAGGGUCCUGUGUGUAGCUGGUGUAGAGAGUCAGGUGCAGG